UGAGUAACACGUAUCCAACUGCCGCUUACUCGGGAUAGCCUUCGAAAGAAAGAUUAAUACCCGAUGGUAUAAAGAGUUCGCAUGUUCUCUUUAUUAAAGAAUUCGGUAAGCGAUGGGGAUGCGUUCCAUUAGAUAGUUGGCGGGGUAACGGCCCACCAAGUCUACGAUGGAUAGGGGGUUCUGAGAGGAAAGGUCCCCCCACAUUGGAACUGAGACACGGUCCAAACCCCUACGGGAGGCAGCAGUGAGGAAUAUUGGUCAAUGGACGAGAGUCUGAACCAGCCAAAAGUAGCGUGAAGGAUGACUGCCCUAUGGGUUGUAAACUUCUUUUAUAAGGGAAUAAAGUGAGGGACGUGUCCCUUUUUGUAUGUACCUUAUGAAUAAGGAUCGGCUAACUCCGUGCCAGCCGCGGC
rnacentral:rRNA from 1 species